ACGCUCGACACCUACGGGAGGCAGCAGUGGGGAAUAUUGGGCAAUGGGCGCAAGCCUGACCCAGCAACGCCGCGUGAAGGAAGAAGGCUUUCGGGUUGUAAACUUCUUUUAUCAGGGAAGAUGAAUGAGACUGUACCUGAUGAAUAAGCCACGGCUAACUACGUGCCACAGCCGCGGUAAUCUGAGCGGGCUGGCAAGGC
rnacentral:rRNA from 1 species